GAACAUGUCUGUCAGUGAUCAUAUGUCGAAUAACCCAAAUGAUCGUAAGGUAGGCGAACAAUCAUGCCGAGAAAUUGGAGCUGCAGAGAAAAUUCGUCUUGAACCGGAAAAAGUGGAAUAUAUUGAAAUGCGUUUUGCCGAACAUCGUCGUUAUCAAGGAGAUUCGUCUGGUGUGGCGGGAAUAAAAAUGAAGGAUUGUCGUUCUCUAAUGGCUCGAGUUAUUUCAUAUUACGGCAACAAGUAAUUUGAUCGCGUCAUGUCAUAUUUUAAUUGAUUCUGAAUUUCAAAGAAAUUUUAAUUUGUUUUAAUUUGUCAAUCGCGAUAUUUUAGUCUGAGACGUGAUGAGCUGAUUUACUUCCAUUCAAAUCUAACAUUUUAAUGUUUUUCUGGCAUUUGAACCUGUUUUAAUUGUUUUUUAACAAAUAAACUUCAUAAAAACGAA